GGACUAAUUUUGUUUAAAAUUUGUUUCUUUACGUACUAGGUAUUCUCAACUUUUGAAACCCAUCUGUGUUCAUGAUCUAAGAAGUUAAAGCUCUCCCUGUGGACUAUGCAACGUCACCCCCUGUGGGAUCUUUUCCCUAUAAGAGAAACGUGACCUGGGAAGUCAUGGUGGAGAAAGUAACUGAAAGGAAAAUGAGACAAUGUGAGUGGAAAACUCCGCAGGAAGUAUUUGAUCCAGGACGAUUUAGUGACCUCUCUCAAAUGGCUAAGAUGGGAACCAGGGGAAAAAACAUGCAGCAAGCUACAUAUACCGUAGCUGCAUAAACUGACAAUGCUGACAGAACAGAAAUGGCAUUUGAAGAGGAGAAAAGAACUUCAGUGGUCAGGUAACUGACUUUUAUAGUUAUCUUUCUAAACUGAAAUCACGUGCAAUUUUUGCUUUUCUUUUCCUUAAUGGAAUUGAUCCAUUAAGCAGUGCUUCUCUCUUUUGCCUAAUAGUAUUAGACAUACUUAACUCUAUGAGCUACAGUUUCUUAAUUCAUCCUGAAAUAUCUGCUUUGACAUGACUAAUACCAAUAUAUUUUUAAAUUUAGGGUUUUAUCUAUUUAGCUGCUUCUAUCAGCUGUGGUUUAGUGAAAAAUAAACCAAUGUCUCAUUUGUUACUGUAUCGGAUAUUGGAAUUACUAACUGUGACUCUUGAAUGGUUUGGAUAAAUUUCAAAGACCAAUAAAGCUAAAAGAACAACAUAUUUCUACAAUUAUUCAUAAACAAUGUGAAAUUUCCUUUAGUCAGAUUUUUUACCAUUAAGAAAAGAAAGAUUUGAAGGUAGGAUUUGCCUAUAGCGACAACUAGAAUUUUCAUUCUAACAGAUUCUUCUGGUGUACUUCACAGUGAAGAACUCUGCUCUGCCUGUGUUUAGUCUCUUUUGUAGAAUUUUCUAACUUUCCAAAGCAUUUACCCUUAUUCUGUUCACUCACAGGUGCUGUUUAUCAUCAGCACAGUUUUAGUUGAAUAUUCAUUCAAGCAAAUUUUUUUAGCAUCUACUAAUCAGGCACUGUGCUAGGUUUUAUAAAAAUAAAGAUAGCAAUAGAAAUAAUGACAAUAUAAACUAAAAUGUGGUAUAAUACAAGACCCACUAGGGUAGAGAUCUAUCUUAAUUCACAUGUGUGCUCCAAGUGACUAAGAUGCACCUGAAACAUAAGAGGAGUUCAGUAAAUAUUUGUGGAAUAGCACUUACUGUGUGUUCCACUUGCAUAUUCUCAUGGAACUUUUAAGAUGUCUCUAGUGGUAGAUACUAUUUUUCAUAUGAGGAAAUUAAUGCAAAAAUAUGUUAAAUUACUCUUCCAACAUCUUGUCUGAUAAUAGCCAAUCAUGUAUUGAAGCCAGAGUCUGAUUCCAGUGACUGUUCUUUGAAAAUUAUCUUAUUGCCUCUUCCUACCCUCAGGAAGCACACUCACAAUUUUAUUCUGAUGAAGACAUCCACAAUUAAGUUUAGUAGAUGAUCUUUGCACAUUUAUGAGGGCAUUUUUACACUUAGCUGUAAUCUGGAUCCAUAAUGGCACUAUAUAAAUUACAAGAAGUUUCAACUCCUUGCCAAAACCAAUUUGAGUCAAUGGGAGUAACUUCACUUCAAGGAAUAUCGUUCCUACAUCACUGACUUUAUCAACAGUUAAUUCUUUGCACAUUCUAUCUUCCAAACUACAUCACUUAUGGUUUUAGUGCUAAGAUUAAAGCUGAUUUCCUCAUUAGGAAUUUCCUCAUUUAACAGUAUUUACUAGUUCAUGCACCUCUUAAUUUAAUUGGACUGUCUAUAUAAAUCCAAAUAACAUUACUUCAGAAGGAAAGCCUCAAACUUAUGUCAAGUAAAGAAACCUUACAAAAUGAAUAUUUUUCUUCUUUCUAAAUUGUUGAAUAACAGCAUUUCUACUGAUUACCUAUCUUUCCCCACUCUUCAAAAUAUAAAAAAUACACACACACUCUGUCACACAUGUGUAUUAUCGUUUUAUUUUGGAAGGGUUAGAGAUUUGAACUAGUGACCAUAAUAUUUCUUAAGGUCAUCACAUACCCUAAAUAAAUACAGAAACCAGGUCUUCUCUACACUGUUAACGUUUGCACAUGGUUCCUUCUUGAGAGUUAGAGGAACCCAGAGAGUGCUCAAUAAAUGCCAUAGUUAUUUCUACAUCAUGGCAUUUAAAGCUUGAAACUUACUUUCCAAACUAAAGCUAAGAUUUUCU
ensembl:lincRNA